AUCUUACUCAUUAGACUUUGAUAUGAUAGUUGAAACUUUACAUAUAAAUUAAUUUUUUUUAUAAUUGAGUUGAGCUUUAUAUUUAAAUUGGGCUGAAAAUCAAAUGAUAAAAGUUUGUAUUUAUAUAUAAAAUUAAUUAUUUAUAUAUAUAAAUAUAGAUUAUAAAUUAUAUAAAUAUAAGAUAUAUGUAUUCGAGCUGUUAUUUAGCCGAGCACGAGUGAGCUGACCCAAUAUCGUGUUCGCCUUAUUUAUUAAAAGAGCUAAAAAAUUCUGCUCGUGUUCGGCUCGUUCACCAAACGAGCACUUUCAUUUGGAGCUCAUUUCGAGUUGAAUAUAAGCCGACAAGCGAACCGCGAGCUAGAUUGCCUC
rnacentral:lncRNA from 1 species